CUAAAGCAGCCGGCUGCAACGCUGCAGCCUCCCCACACCUGAUUACAGGGCGGGCGGGCUGCUCAGGGACAGAGGGCUCCGAAGCUUGGGACACACACCCCGAGUACGGGGCUGUCACCGCCGCCAGCAGGACAGGCGGCCACGCAAGGACAGGCCCAAGCCCUGGCUACAGGGAGGCCUUGGCCACAGAACUACCGUGUGGCUCUGAUCUGCUCUAAGGAAAAUAGUAGGAAGACAGGACACUCGCUGCGCUCGCAGGACUAAGAGGGAACACCCCUUUUGCGGCAUGCACCAAAGUCCUCCAUUCCCCCCUGGGAAGUCAAAGCUAAGCUUUUUCUGUCCAACAGCGUACAACUCCCUCAGCAAUAAAUCCACUUGCCCUUAUUACCAAUAUCCUACCCUGUUUUACUUCCCAGGAAAACAACGACAACAACAACGAUACAUCCCCAACCCACAGAGCAAGGACAUGCACAAUGCUGGGUUUUAUCCCUCUGUUAAAACAAAUAAAACUAAAAAUCAGAACCGAAGAAAAUGCUUGCAGAGUUCUCUGUCAGUUCUGUAGCCAUUUACAGACCACCACCACCAAGGGCACCUCGUUGAGAAGACUGAAACAUCCCCGCCUUGUAAUUGUAUCACAGUUGUGAAAAUCAAAUUCAUUUCCAAACAUUUCCCUAAGAUGUUCAAAGCCUGGACCGCCAAAGCAAAAUGCACCAAGACCCCAGCAUUUCAUCUAGCUGUCUAAAAUAUUAAACUUUUCAUAUAUGCGGGAUUGGAAUGCGUCCUUCUCCAAGUGCACUUCAGAGCGCUCGCCCCACAUCAGCAACGGUAGUUCCGGCAUACUGCAAUUUCCCAAUCCCCACGGGAAUGCCUGCAAGGAUUCCAUCUGAAGGUUUAGGCGACAUCCAAAGUUAGUGGGCGCUUCAGCAGCUGAAAUAGAAAUGCUGUUCAGCUCCCCGGCCAUAUUUUCCAGACCGUGCCUCUAAUAAGAACAGUACACUUGCAUGCGUUCCUGAACUACAAUGGGACAGGACAGUGAUUAAAGUAGUGAAGCAUAGCGCAGUAUCUCUCUGGUAACAUACAUUGUGUAUGGAAUGGAGCGUAAAGGGAAAUGAGAUGAACUUUGUACAGCUCACCUUAAUUAAGUCGUGUCCCGAUGGAAAUUAAUUUGAAUGUUAAAAGCAUGUAUAUACAUUGUCUGAGCUUUCUCUCAGUGCCCACUUCAAGCCACAUGCACUGUCCCGGGUCUGUCAGUUCCGGGUGUUCACAUACAUUCUCCUAUUCAUCCAGCUGGCCGUCACUUUGUAUCUUGCAAGUGGUUAACAGCAAAUUCUAUGGACAGUAAGAGUUACAUCUUAGCACCUUUCCAAACAUCUGCCAGCCAGCACACCACGCUUCAGCCCGACCACAGGCUUCUGAAUUUCACACUGUUUCAGGAGGUUUUAUUAAAUUAAGACUGUGGAGCACCAUGUUUUUGCCGGCCCCUAGUUUUACUUUGGUUUGUAGUCCCCCUGAGCAGUGAAGGUCUGCACGUUUGUUCCAACAAGACUUAUUUUUCUUAUUAAUUAAUUUAUUUUUUUUUUCCUUUUUCUUUUGUUCGGAAUUGGGGCGAUGGAAAGCGGAGCGGAGACGCACCCAUCGGGGGCCCCUGGAAACCGUUAAGGCCGGGAACGUUCUUCGGAGGGGAGACGCUCUAUCGCGCCGGUCGCGUCGGAUGCAAAGCGACCCGUUUGAAUUGGCACAAUUACUUAACUUAUCGAUGAAUCCCACAGUGCGGCGAGAAGGAGAAGCGCGUAACAAACUGUACUUCAAAGUGUAAUUUAAGUCCCUAAUUCAGAUCCGGAGUCCGCACGUCAAACUGUCAGAGCCCCGGGCCGUCCCUAACGAGGCCGGCUGCGCUAAGGAGGCAACGACUCCCAGGUGCCGCGGGGCCGCGGCCGGCCGGGCGCAGCUGCGCCUCGUCGGGAGCCGCGGGCGGGGCCCGCCCCAAAGCCUCUUAAGCUCCUCCGGAGGCUGCCGGGAGCCACGGGGGAGUUUCUGCGGUUGUGGAUAGGAGACGGAGUGAGUUCUGUUUCUUUGUCGGGCCCUGACGCUGCUGAGGCUGAGAAGCGGCUGCUGUGAGACCUUUCGCGGUAAGGACCAGCCCAAACAGGUGAGCGGUUCGAGUAGUAAGGGGACGGUGAGCGCUCGGGAGCCGCCAGGAUCUCCGGAGCAGGCGGCUGUCGGACCCCGCUCUUCUCGGGGCCGGCGUUAGGUCGCCGCCGGGCUCCCCCGGCUGUGCGGAGCCGAUACGGCAUCGCCGCCGUCGCCCGGCCGCCGUCGCAUUCUUGGAGGCGGCUGCCGCUCAGACCCCCGAGUUCUCGCGCAGCCCCGGGGUGCUCUCAGCCCCCCCCAUCCUCGGGAUUUCUUUCAGCGGGUGCUUCAGUUCUUCAGGCUCUCCUCGGCUGAGCGAGGGCUGCAGCAGAGGCUCUCAUCGGCCCGAAGCAGUGAGCUCGUGGAAGCGGUGAGUGUUUGAGAGUCGCUCGGUAAGAUCUCUCGUGUUGGGGCUCCUGUAGGGUUGCUGCUCGACUGCCUCUGUCUUUGGGAUCGGCACGGCGCCGCCGCUGGGCUCCCGUGUGGCUUUUUAGUAGGACCGGCACGGGGCCUCCGCCCGAGACCGAGCACGAUCCCGGGGUGGCCUCGGCCACUGCGGAGUGUUUUGCGGGUGCUCUCACCCAUCCCGUUUCCAGCGGUGGGAGCGAGCAGGUUGGGACCGUGGUUUUUUUUUUUCCCGCCUCUUCCUUCCCGUGUAACUGCAGGAGCACGAUUUAGGUUCCCAUCGUGGAGACCUGGCAGGGCAGCUCGCACGACUGGAGUGCUGUCGUGGAUGGCUCUGUUCUUUUUAGGAAAGACAGACCGGCCAGGCGGUGGAGUCUCUCUUCGAGGGAGAGAACGGGAACGUAUCGAGCUCCACCUAGGGGUGAAUGAAGAACCAGCGGAGCGUUUGUGCGUGAGGCUGAAGAGGCAGGUAAAAGUGGGUAACAUGAGUGGUGGUGUUGGUCACAGACCAGGGUGAGGAAGCUGAUAGACCUUCUGCACACAGCUGGAAAUGGUGCCCACAGCUGUGAGGCUAGUUCUCAUGGUAGGCUCCAGGAGUUUCCUGCAAUGUGUCAAAGGUAAGAUCUUCUGACACAGGUGAUGAAGGAGGCAUUGAGGAGAGGGGCUGCUGGAGCUCCCUAUUGCAGAAGAGCCAUUUGGGGACAGGAAGGCCAGGGGCAGCCUGGAGCGUGCCAGUCGUGAGACCACAGUGUUUGGGAUCUUGUGUGGAAGCUGCAAAGCAAUGAGUAGGAUUGAAACACUGGACUUGGAGGGAGCCAAGUUUGUCCUCUUGAAGGGCCUACUUGGAGGUAACCCUUGCUCAAGCAUAGGAAGGGGUCCUGUGAAUGCUGGAGCAUUACUUCGUCCAUGCUGAGGUGCGCUGCGUCCCAAGGAGGAAGGAACUGCGCCGGAAUGGUGGGGGACCUGCAGGGCUGACUGAGGAACUUGAAGGGGAGAAGGAAGAGAGAGGCUGAGGAAGGCCAAGUCCCUCUGAGUAUCAGCUUUGGGAGGGAGGUCAAGGCUAAUGGAAGUUUGUCAACAGGAGAGACUGGAGAAAUUGCAGGCCUGUGCUUUACAAGGCGGAGGCCUCUUGGGUUUCAGUGGUUUCUGCUGAGAGUGCUCCUGGGGAACCUGGGGUCCUGGAGGAGAGAGUCCCUGAGGAAGGAUGUCUUCCCCUCAGUUGCGGAGGAGCUGGUCAAAGGUAGUUCAGGCAGAAAGGAGGCCAGCAAAUCUCUGAGCUGUAGAGGGCUAUGUCUGUGCCCGCUGAGAGCUGGCAGCGGUGACUGGCAAUAGCUCUCUGUCACUUUUUCCCUGCUGUUUCCUGUGGGAAAGGUACCUGAAGACUGGAGGAUGGCGGAUGCCACCGCAGCCUUCAGAAAGGGUGUGGAGGAUGGCGUGUGCAACUUGGAGGUAGGUUGGCCUCAUGUCUGUUCCUGGGGAGGUGACGCAACAGCUUGUUGCAGGUGUCAUUGCCAUGUGACUGGAGGAGAAGGUAUUUGCAAGGAGCAGUCCAGGUGGAUGGACAGAGGAGAAGUCAUGCCGGACCAAAAGGGUGAAGGCUGCAGAGAGGAUUGGCUGGAGCAGGUGUGCAGUUUUCCCAGUGGUGGGAUGAAGGAGGUUCAGGCUGGAGGCAGGAUCCUGGUGGUGUGAGUGGGGCGCCCCUGUGGAGCAAGGGUGGAAGGUGUGUGGCAGGUCCUGUCCCGGAGGAGUGGAGUUAAGGGUCCUGGCGUGGCUGUUUUCCUGCAUGGAAGAUGGAGAUCCUGGGAGCUGUGAUGAGGAGGAGCAGAGCCAGCAGUGGCUCCUGUGUGGCAAUGGCUGCUUUGUGUGGUGCUCCUGGGCUGAAAAGAGGAGGAGAAAAAAGUUUUUAGUGUUGUUCUUCAAAGCUCAGUUUCCCUUCAGCAAGAAGCUAUGGGGAGCUUCUAGGUCUAAUGCUGUUCCUCUGCUUUUGAGCUGAAUUUCUGCACGGCAGCCUUUCUCGAAUGCAGUAGGGCUUCCCUGGCUUGAAGAUGGGUGUGCUGUCCUGAGGGAGGAGCAGUGUUGACUGUCUUACAGUGACCUUCUGCUUUCCUUUAAGAAGAGUCCACUAAGAACUGUAUUGGGUUUUUCAAUGAUAGAGAUCUCAAACAAAGGUCGCUGUUUAAGACUGUGUGACGUUCAACGGCAGAAUCUGGAACGCUCACCCAUAGCAGGGCACAUCUGAAUCAGUUUGAGACAUGAUUACAUUUAGUAACAUAAUACAUUAUCUCCUCAAGAGUUUCUGCUAGAAUCCAGACUCUAAACGAAGCUUUGGGUCCCUCACAUUGCCCUGUCAUGGGCCAUAAUGUAGUCUUUUAUCAUCGUACUUUUCAAUUAGAUCAUGACUUUUAACAUGCGGAGUUGGAAAUUCUGGUUACCCAUGAAAAACUAUUAAAAGAUAGUGCCUGGAAAACAUAGAAGCCAUCCAAACACUCUGGUGCUGUAGGAAAUAUGUCCCUGUGCAGCUCUCCCAUGGGAAGGGUGUCGUCGCUUCCAGGCUUUUGUGGCAAUCAGUACCUACGUGGCUGCUUAACAGGCAGAAGCCCUAAUAAUAAGCAUCUCAUUAGAAGAGCAGUAAACGGUUCUGUCACUGAUUUGGAAAAUGUUGAGACGAAGCAGCGUUUCCCCUCGUGGGAGACUCAGGAUCCCUCAAAAACAUCACUAACGUGUUCCUUCAGGUCAGCCAGGCCCCUAGCGCUUCGGUUUCUUAUCUGGAAUCCCAGCGAAACAGACUCAAGUGCCUCCCUGCAGAAGGUUGAUUUUGGGAGGCUCGUUCUCUUCAUUAGGCUUGGAUGACCUUUCUGAGGCUGAACAAGAGUACAAAACCUGUGAGUUAAAUGGGUGGAACAAAACUACAGCUGCUGCACCUUACCGGGCCGAGAGUUGUGACCUGAUCUUCCAUCUUUUACACAAAAUGAGUCAGAUAUUCAGCUUGCUGCCACAAAUUCAUGAGUGGAUGGAAAUGCUUAACAAAGUGAUAAUGAAUCUCUCUGAAUGUCUACAUGGUUCCCACCAGUGCAAAGACUCACCCAGUGCUAAAAGUAAUUCACUACAGUGUGAAAAAAAAAAUAAAUAAAUCAUUCUCC
ensembl:lncRNA